UACGAAGGGGGCUAGCGUUGCUCGGAAUCACUGGGCGUAAAGCGCACGUAGGCGGCUUUCUAAGUCAGGGGUGAAAUCCUGGAGCUCAACUCCAGAACUGCCUUUGAUACUGGAAAGCUCGAGUCCGGAAGAGGUGAGUGGAACUGCGAGUGUAGAGGUGAAAUUCGUAGAUAUUCGCAAGAACACCAGUGGCGAAGGCGGCUCACUGGUCCGGUACUGACGCUGAGGUGCGAAAGCGUGGGGAGCAAACAGG
rnacentral:rRNA from 1 species